GAUGAACGCUGGCGGCGUGCCUAAUACAUGCAAGUCGAGCGAACAGAUAAGGAGCUUGCUCCUUUGACGUUAGCGGCGGACGGGUGAGUAACACGUGGAUAACCUACCUAUAAGACUGGGAUAACUUCGGGAAACCGGAGCUAAUACCGGAUAACAUAUUGAACCGCAUGGUUCAAUAGUGAAAGGCGGCUUUGCUGUCACUUAUAGAUGGAUCCGCGCCGUAUUAGCUAGUUGGUAAGGUAACGGCUUACCAAGGCAACGAUACGUAGCCGACCUGAGAGGGUGAUCGGCCACACUGGAACUGAGACACGGUCCAGACUCCUACGGGAGGCAGCAGUAGGGAAUCUUUCGCAAUGGGCGAAAGCCUGACGGAGCAACGCCGCGUGAGUGAUGAAGGUCUUCGGAUCGUAAAACUCUGUUAUCAGGGAAGAACAAAUGUGUAAGUAACUGUGCACAUCUUGACGGUACCUGAUCAGAAAGCCACGGCUAACUACGUG
rnacentral:rRNA from 1 species